AACCGAGUUUCCCUCUAGCCCCGAGCGGGGAGCAGCUCUCAGUACUGAGUGAGGCACCAAACACUUGAGCUAUUUCAGCCACAUGCAAAGCAUCGGAAUUGAGAUCACAGCUCAGAGGACACCAGGCGUCCCUUCCACCUUCUGAGGAGCCUUGUAUUCUUGCAUCUGGCUGCUUGGGACUUUCCUUAGGCAGUAAACAAAUACAUAAAGCAGGGAUAAGACCCCGUGAAUAUGUCGAAACAGCCGGUUUCCAAUGUCAGAGCCAUCCAGGCAAAUAUCAACAUCCCCAUGGGAGCCUUUCGGCCGGGAGCUGGGCAACCCCCCAGAAGAAAAGAGUGUACUCCAGAAACGGAGGAGGGUGCUCCUCCCACCUCAGAUGAGGAGAAGAAGCCAAUUCCAGGAGUGAAGAAAUUUCCAGGACCUGCGGUCAACCUAUCAGAGAUCCAGAAUAUUAAAAGUGAACUGAAGUAUGUCCCCAAAGCUGAGCAGUAGUUGAAAGAAGAUUCUGUUAACUUUAUGUCAAGAAAUUGGUUUACCAUUUGGAUGUUCCAGAACCUGUGACUGCUACAGACAGUUGCCAGAUACUUCUAAUAGGAUGCUGGAUAUUUCUGAUGUUUGAUGUGAAGAAUUGAAGAGAAAGAGAAUGGAUUCAAAUGAAAAUAGCUCAUGAAAAGAUUUUAUAUAUUUGUAUGAAGAUUAUGAACCUCCUGAAUGCCUGAGGCUCUAGCAGAAAUGUCUUCUUUGUACAUUUAUAUCUCUUCCUUCUAGUUGGCUGCACUUCUUACUUUAUCUUCAUGUUUGGCACCUUGCAGAACAAAUCAGCUCAAGAAUUCACAACUGGAUGGUGUGGUUUUGAGGAAGAGCAGGAUUUACUGAGAGGGAUAGGGCAAUAUGAAUAACAAUGAUUUCCAUUGGAAGUUCUCUAAACUACUUCACACACUAUUUUGGUCAGUUUGGGGAAUGUAUUUUAGUUCUUCACGUCCUCAAUUAUAUCAAUAAACUUUUUAUGAGUUCAAA